GACGUAGGGCGCGAGCGUUGUCCGGAUUUAUUGGGCGUAAAGAGCUCGUAGGCGGCUUGUCGCGUCGACUGUGAAAUCCCGCGGCUCAACUGCGGGUCUGCAGUCGAUACGGGCAGGCUAGAGUUCGGUAGGGGAGACUGGAAUUCCUGGUGUAGCGGUGAAAUGCGUUGAUAUCAGGAGGAACACCCAUGGCGAAGGCAGCAAACUGGUCAUCAACUGACGCUGAGGCGCGAAAGCGUGGGUAGCAAACAGG
rnacentral:rRNA from 1 species